GGUAAUUCAACUUUACAUCUUCGAGCUUCCCACUUAUAAUAUAAUACAUGAUGAUAUGAAAUAUAUAUAUAAGAUGGAGAAGGUCGAUAACGCCGUAUUCACAUUCAACCUUCCACACUAUGUAGAUAGCUUUAUUACAGAGACGCUAGAAUGUUGACGAGGGGACUCAUUCUAAAUCAUCGACAGUACAAAGCUUUCAGCCAGCCACUUAGAAUAGAUUCUUCUGUCUACUUAUAUACCUGAAUUUCAAUAUUCCAUUUGUACAUCUCUUGUUGUGGAACUGGGAUAUUCAUAGUCAGCAGUCCAUAUUCUUUGUUGUAGUUAUAGAGGGUGUCUGCUCCAUCUAUUGAACAUUUGACGGGUAUUUGGGAAAUGUAAACGCCAAAGCGGCCACAUCCCCUGACCUUGAGUGAGACUGUUGCAGUUCGAGAUUGGCUUGUACCAUCAGAAUGUACUUCAUACUGAUCAAUGGCACCACCACUGUUGAUCAUAUCCAUCAGCCCAAUUGGAGCAAAAGAUAUGUUUGUCACAACUUCCUUGACAGGAGAAAAGUGGAAUACUUCAUAUUCAAGAACUUUAAGUGUUACAGGCAAUGAAGCACCUCUGGGUAGGAAAACCAGUUUCCCUGAUGUAAAGCAAUAGGCUAUAGAAUCCCCAUUCCAAUCAAUGGUCUCAACAUCAGUUGAUUGGACUGAAGUUGUAAGUGUGCCAGGGGAUGCAUCAUGAAUACGCGUCUUCUUUGUCACCUUGCACCACCCAGCACCUUGGCAGUUAAAUACACCAACCACACCACUGUAUUUGUUCACGUUCCAUAUUUUGAGUAAGCUUGUCCCGUCUCUUGCUGGAUCAACAAAUAGGCAAUCUCGAGUAGGUCUGCCAGGCAAUUGAGCGCGAAGUACUGAUCCAUCAGGAAGGAUAAGCUUCUUCAGAAGCUCGAAGUUGUGAUUUCCGGGUUUGUCACUCACAUAAAUUGGUGAUCCUCCAACUGCUCUAGCUGCAGCAUGAUAUUCUGCAGUAUGGUGAAGACUGUGGAACAUGUCCCAAUCUGGUUGCAUGAAUUCUCCCAAGAACAAUGAGUUGUAGCAAACAGAAGAUAUAUGGAUGGUGUGAGAAGCUGGAUCACGAGGAUAAUAAUCAUCAGAAGCUCUGACUAGAGCGGUUUGCUUAGAACUGUAGAGCCCAUCAGUGUUGUGAUUCAUGCAGGCAAUGCAUCCAUUGUCAGGAAAGUUUUGAGCAAUGGAUGCUUCAAGGGCCUGGAUAUAGCUUCUUGUGAUGGAUACUCUACCACCAUGGCCAGCACCAAGUGUUUCAAUGAUGUUCUGGACAUCAACCUUGACUCCAUCAACCCCACAGGAUGCCAGAUAGGCAUGUAGUUCAUUAUAAAAGUUAAAGACCUUUUUUGGGUGCACUAAACCUAAGCCAUUAGCUGCAAGACUAUCCAUAACAAUGUCAGGUUGGUUUCCCAUCACACCAGGAGACUGAAUGGGGUACACCAAUGCAGUGUCAUAGUGCUCGAGCCCAGGACCAGCAGGGUGCACUCCACCCCAGUAACCAGCUAGGGCAUGCCAUACGUAUACAUACUUAACACUGUGUUGUUUCUUGGCUUCCUCCACUACAUGCUUCAGGCCUUUUUUUUGGAACUUGUUGUUUUCUUUAAUUCCUGUUAGCCUGUUGGCGAACUGUGCUCCUUCUUGUACUACACAGUUAGUGUCCUUGGGUGCUUCAUUGCCAAUCUGUUGCCAACCAUCAUCAAUUAUCAGGAAACGUGGGCGAACACCACCCUUGGAUAAGCUGUUGAGACCAUCCUCGACACCCUCUGCUGUGACCUCAGUGUAAAAGGCAUCCCAUGUGCACCACCCAAACCAAUCAAUAAUUGAGGGCAACUUCUUCUUCUCUCUGUGAUGGAAAGUUUGCAAGUGUUGCUCAACAGAUUUCACAGCCUGUGUAAUGACUUGAAAGGGAUUGGUCCCAGCAUGGGUGUAGACAAGAUAAAGGCCUUGGUUGGUUUUAACAGCAUUAUCUCCACUUUCAAGGCAAAUCUCGAUUUGGUUCAUCUGAUUGCCUUGAAGAACAGCACGAAACUGUCCUUCAAGUAGAGGGAGGAAGACGGUGUAAAUAAUUGGGCCCUGGUCGUCUUUGGUCUCGAGAAGCAUGAACUGGGUCUCCAAAGGA
rnacentral:misc_RNA from 1 species